UUAAGUGGUGAUGUUCUCGAGCCAAUUUUUAUCAGAAAAAUGAAAAGAAAGAAAUAAAUAAAAGGAUAAUAUAGAAUUAAUUAAGAGGAUUUUCCAUUUCUGUGGAAAAAAUCCUGAAAACAGAUUCUUUUGAAUUCAAAUUAGGUUACAGGAUUCUCCGUCGCGGCUUAGUAGAUAUUCGCACGUACAUAGACGGCAUCUAAAGUUUAAAAAUAUAUUUUUCUUCGAACUGGUGCUCGAGUGAGAUUGGCUUUUACCAACCCGUUAGCUGUCAAAAAAAAAAAGAAUAAUAAGGCUGAAUCUGUCUACUAAAUUUUGUUAGCCGCCUUUGUUUGAAAACAAAUAAAAAAAAAAGAAAGAAAGGUUUUGCUCAAUCAUAUAUCGGUGAGACGAGCAAAAGAGGAUGGUAGGUUUAAUUAUAAAAGGAAGCUAAUGUUUAGGUUUUUAAACACACCAAAACAUUUGAAUGUGUUUUAUAUUAGGGAUUUAGAGCAAGUCUCUUAGAGUCCAUUGGAAUAUAAAAUAUUUGGGGUGUUUUUGAGGGUGUCGGGUAGAAAACUAUUUUAUAAUUGUGGUUGUAACAAUUUGCCGCAUAGUGAAUAUUUUUCUUGGUUGUCGUUUGGCAACGGCCGUAGUUUUUCUCCACUUGGAAAGUUUUCCCGUUUGUUCCUGCUUGAAGCCAGUCCGAAGGGCGGGAAAAAUAGCGAUUUUCUCAACAAAUUUGGCAAUAAUAUACAAUUUGCCUAAAGUUUAAUUUUUUUAUACAAUUUACUCCCUGAAUUUAAUACCAAAUAAAUAAUAAAUCCAAUUGAAUAAUGUAACUUGUAUUUAAUUUAAUUAAAAUAAAUAGGACUUAUUUUAUCGACAUUUGAAAAAGAAAAAAAAAAAGAAUAAUAAACAGGACUUGAUAAAACAUUGUCCUCAGUCUAGCUUGAACUGAGGAGAUGGAGAUAGAGCUGUUGAAGUCCUAUUUAAAUGCAUAAACCUUCUAUAAAUAGCCCAGUGGUUGCCAAACUCUACCACCUCAGGAUAAAAAAACUUCCACUGCAGCAACACCUAGUAAAAGUAGAGGAAGUGCUAAAAGUACUGUAAGGGUAGUAACAACAUCCAUCAACUUAACAAUCAAACCCAUGGCUUCCUGCAAAUCUAAGUUAAAGAAAAACUCUGAGGAGCUUUAACUUAUAAUUAAUGCGCAGUUUCUGCAUUCCUUAUUUUUAAAGAGGAGAAAGAAUAUAAUCGAGAUAUGCUCCAGAUUCAUUCUAGCUGUGAAAUCACAGCCACAGAAAAAACAAUCAAAAGAGACAAAUCUUCAGUAACGUAUGCAAUUGGAAAAAUGAAAUUAAGUGGUGAUGUUCUCGAGCCAAUUUUUAUCAGAAAAAUGAAAAGAAAGAAAUAAAUAAAAGGAUAAUAUAGAAUUAAUUAAGAGGAUUUUCCAUUUCUGUGGAAAAAAUCCUGAAAACAGAUUCUUUUGAAUUCAAAUUAGGUUACAGGAUUCUCCGUCGCGGCUUAGUAGAUAUUCGCACGUACAUAGACGGCAUCUAAAGUUUAAAAAUAUAUUUUUCUUCGAACUGGUGCUCGAGUGAGAUUGGCUUUUACCAACCCGUUAGCUGUCAAAAAAAAAAAGAAUAAUAAGGCUGAAUCUGUCUACUAAAUUUUGUUAGCCGCCUUUGUUUGAAAACAAAUAAAA
rnacentral:lncRNA from 1 species